AGCAGACUUCGUAAAAGAGACAUUUAAAAAAAAUGAUCACAUUUCUAUUUCAAAACAUUAAAAAAAAAGCUGUCUAUUAUCUCACAGGAAAUUCUGAUUAAAGCUUUCUUGCGAAAAGUAGGUGUCCUUAUAAGACCCUCCCAAAAGAAAUUCAAAUGACGGGCAGAAGAGGAAAACAGAAUUUAAGUAAACAAGUGAGAAGAGCCAGGGAAAACAAGAGCAAUGAGGACAGUCUCAGGUGGCUGACUUGGCAGAGCAAGGCGUGAAGGAAGGAAGAGGCUGCGGGACAAUGAACCACUGGCGUUUACAGUAGUCAAGGAUUCUCCAGAGUUUGUGACUUUAACCACAAAUUGCUUCACAGUACUGUACGCUCCCUUUCUUUCACUUCCAGCCUGUCAUGUGGGUAAACCCCCCUCGAGCAGAGGGUGGCUGCAGGUGCAUGGGUGAUGUCUGUCAGGGAUGGUGCUGGUGGAGAGAGGAGGACCUGCAGAGGGGGUAUUUCACUGGCUCUUCAACUCACAGGAGUCACGAUGAGAAAAGACGGCUUUCAAGUCAGGCCCCUGGCUGAGCACGAAGAUAGCUUCAGCAGUGGGAGAAGUCUCUAGAUGGCACACAGAACAAACUCAAGGUUGGCUCUAUUCUCUGCACAGCAGAUUUCAGUAUUACCGAAGCCACACACAGGCACAAGGGAUUUCCACAAUGCUCUUUCCCAGGGAUGCUGCUUCCCUGUAGGCCUUCUCCCACUCAGUAACUAACUGCAUAAGAUUGCCCUCAAGUCCAAGGGUAGACUGGCUGGGAAAUUCUGUCAUUAAUUAACAGUGGCCAAAUGAAGAGGCCAUUUCCCCUCCAUAAGGGGCCCUGGACACUGUUCUAAUUGCAAGGCAUGAGCUUUCCCCUGUCAGGAUGAACGCCGCCUUUCUUUUUAGCACUUUGCUCCACAGUUCUUCUCCCAAAUGCCCCAGCUUGAAACCUCAUUAAGCAAUUGCUUUAUGAUCGGCUCAUCUGGAAUUUUUCUUCUAUGACCAUUCCCAUGGUACACAAGAAGGACUUAAUUCCAUCCAGAAUACCCAUCGUUCAUCCACAAUUACAUUGUUUUGCUCAUCUUUUAACAAGAGUAUUUCUAGGAACCAGAAGUACACUUCGAGGCAA
rnacentral:lncRNA from 1 species